rnacentral:rRNA from 1 species
GCAAGUCGAGGGGUAAGGCUCAUUUCGGUGAGUACACGACCGGCGCACGGGUGCGUAAAGCGUAUGCAACCUACCUUUCACAGGGGGAUAGACCGAAGAAAUACGGAUUAACACCCCAUAACACUUCGCUGUGGCAUCACAAUGCAGUUAAAACUCCGGUGGUUAAAGAUGGGCAUGCGUGACAUUAGAUAGUUGGUGAGGUAACGGCUCACCAAGUCUACGAUGUCUAGGGGUUCUGAGAGGAUGAUC